rnacentral:lncRNA from 12 species
UAUUAUUAUUAUUAUUAUUAUUAUUAUUAUUAUCAUUAUUACCAUUUAAAUUUUUAACUGACAUUUUAUCCUUAAUCUAAUUUCAGUCAUAUUCUAAGCCAUCCAAACAAUAAUGGAUGCUUCCAAACAUCGUAGGAAGCAUCCACAAAGACUGCCUGCAUCCAUCCAUUUUCUCCUAAUAGAUCACAAUUAAGUUAAUAGAACACAAAAAUGGAAUGUUGAGGUUUGUGCAUCAAAUCUCAAUAACUACUUUCCACUACUCUCAAAAGAUUUCUACAAUACAGUACACUUCAAACGUCCUCCUUUAUACAUAAUGAUUCUCCACUCCAUGAACUGUUUUUAUGAAGCAGCACAAAACCAAUAAAAAGGUUUGUGCAUCAAAACCCAAUAUCUGCUGUCCAGUACUCUCAAAGAUUUCUACAAUAUGUACACGUCAAACUUCAAUAUCCAUUAUGAUCCUCCGCUCCAUGAAUCGUUUUUAUGAAGCAGCACAAAACCAAAAAAAAGGUUUGUGCAUCAAAACUCAAUAUCUACUGUCCACUACUAUCAAAAGAUUUCUGCAAUUCGCUACACUUCAAACUUCCUUCUCCAUUAUGAUUGU